rnacentral:rRNA from 1 species
UACGAAGGGUGCAAGCGUUAAUCGGAAUUACUGGGCGUAAAGCGCGCGUAGGUGGUUCGUUAAGUUAGGAGUGAAAGCCCCGGGCUCAACCUGGGAAUUGCUUCUAAAACUGGCGAGCUAGAGUAUGGUAGAGGGUGGUGGAAUUUCCUGUGUAGCGGUGAAAUGCGUAGAUAUAGGAAGGAACAUCAGUGGCGAAGGCGGCUCUCUGGAAUCCUGCUGACGCUGAGGCGCGAAAGUCGGGGGAGCAAACAGGAUUAGAUACCCCCGUAGUCCCUGAG